GCAGAGAAAGAGUUAGUAAAUUAUUGUUGAAGCCUUAGACCCUCACAGUCACAGGGACGGGAGAGUGAGUUUUCCUAAAUUAAGCUUUGGUCCGCUCAUUUUGCUUUAAUCUUGCUUUCAUGUCAUCUAAAGUUUCUGGCUUUUGCUGAUUUGUUUCCUCAGAUGACACUUUUAUGUGCAUUAGUAUAUGGUAUUUUUGGCCACAUGACAUGAUGCACAAGCUCUGGCUUAUUUUUUGGUUUGUCUCUCGUAGAGAUUUUAAGGGUGUACGAUUACUGGAAUAAAAUCAGAGCUGCAACAAGCAACUGCUUCAGCAAAUCCAUUCUAGAAGUGCAUCAAAUAGCAAGCUGCAUACUCUACUCAGGUGAUAUUCUUAGCUUGAAAGCUCUGUUUCACAUGUGCUCCUUUUGUGUUAUAACUAAAAAUAUUAAUCAUGUUAGUAACAGAACUGACGACUAUGCUUUAGCCAUUUUACAUGAUGAGGAAUGGAUCAAUCCUCUGUGCUGUUAAGCACUUUUUGUAUAGAAAGGAGGGGCUUUUGCCCCAAUUGUAAUGUUCAGUUGAUGAUCAAUAUAUAACUAACAUCGUUUUGGAAAAAAAAAAAA